UACGGGGGGGGUAAGCGUUGUUCGGAAUUACUGGGCGUAAAGGGCUCGUAGGCGGCCAACUAAGUCAUACGUGAAAUCCCUCAGCUUAACUGGGGAACUGCGUGUGAUACUGGAUGGCUUGGACUUGGGAGAGGGAUGCGGAAUUCCAGGUGUAGCGGUGAAAUGCGUAGAUAUCUGGAGGAACACCGGUGGCGAAGGCGGCGUUCUGGACUGCAACUGACACUGAGAAACGAAAGCCAGGGUAGCAAACGGG
rnacentral:rRNA from 1 species